CCUACGGGCGGCAGCAGUGAGGAAUAUUGGUCAAUGGGCGCGAGCCUGAACCAGCCAAGUCGCGUGAGGGAAGACGGUCCUAUGGAUUGUAAACCUCUUUUGUCGGGGAGCAAAAGACGCCACGCGUGGCGUUCCGAGAGUACCCGAAGAAAAAGCAUCGGCAAACUCCGUGCCAGCAGCCGCGGUAAUACGGAGGAUGCGAGCGUUAUCAGGAUUUAUUGGGGUUAAAGGGUGCGCAGGCGGAAGAUGAAGUCGGCGGUAAAAUGUAGAGGCUCAACCUCGUCGAGCCGUUGAAACUGGUUUUCUGGAGUGAGCGAGAAGUAUGCGGAAUGCUUGGUGUAGCGGUAAAAUGCAUAGAUAUCACGCAGAACUCCGAUUGCGAAGGCAGCAUACUGGUGCUCAACUGACGCUCAUGCACGAAAGUGUGGGUAUCGAACAGGAUUAGAUACCCUUGUAGUC
rnacentral:rRNA from 1 species